UACGUAGGGUGCGAGCGUUAAUCGGAAUUACUGGGCGUAAAGCGUGCGCAGGCGGUUCGUUAAGUCAGAUGUGAAAGCCCCGGGCUUAACCUGGGAACUGCGCUUGUAACUGGCAAGCUAGAGUGUGGCAGAGGGGGGUGGAAUUCCACGUGUAGCAGUGAAAUGCGUAGAGAUGUGGAGGAACACCGAUGGCGAAGGCAGCCCCCUGGGCUAACACUGACGCUCAUGCACGAAAGCGUGGGGAGCAAACAGG
rnacentral:rRNA from 1 species